rnacentral:rRNA from 1 species
CCUACGGGAGGCAGCAGUAGGGAAUUUUCGGCAAUGGGGGGAACCCUGACCGAGCAACGCCGCGUGAACGAAGAAGUUAUUCGUAAUGUAAAGUUCUUUUAACAGGGAAGAAAGAGAAAUUGGACGUUACCUUAAGAAUAAGCUCCGGCAAACUACGUGCCAGCAGCCGCGGUAAUACGUAGGGAGCGAGCGUUAUCGGGAUUUAUUGGGGGAAAAGGGUGUGUAGAUGGCAUAGUAAGUCUUUUGUAAAAAUGCUGGGCUAAACCCAGUAGGGCAAAAGAUACUGCAAAGCUAGAGUAUGACAGAGGCAAGUGGAACUACAUGUGUAGCGGUAAAAUGCGUAAAUAUAUGUAAGAACACCAGUGGCGAAGGCGGCUUGCUGGGUCGAUACUGACAUUGAGGCACGAAAGCGUGGGGAGCAAACAGGAUGAGAUACCCGGGUAGUC